UACGUAGGGGGCAAGCGUUAUCCAGAUUUACUGGGCGUAAAGCGCGUGUAGGCGGCUGGUUAGGCGUGAUGUGAAAUCUUCCGGCUCAACCGGAAAACUGCAUUGCGAACCGGCCUGGCUAGAGUGCAGGAGAGGGAAGCGGAAUUCCAGGUGUAGCGGUGAAAUGCGUAGAUAUCAGGAGGAACACCUGUGGUGUAGACAGCUUACUGGACCACUUCUGACGCUGAGACACGAAAGCGUGGGUAGCAAACAGG
rnacentral:rRNA from 1 species